UCUCCACUUUUGGUUCUCAGUUACCUAUGGGGCCGUCAGCCCCGCUGCGUCACAUCAGAAAAAGAACCAGACCUUGAGGACUGGAGUUAAGAGGCUGUGAAGACCGCCGCCUCCUCCCACGGCCCGCACCGUCGAGUGUCCGGAGCUGGACGGGAGAAGCUGCCACAGAGGCAUGGCCUUAUUUCCUGCGAGUCGCCUUUAAUUCAAACCUAGACAGACGCACGCCCUGCCCGGCCCUCCUCAGACCCGAGAGCUGCUCUGUGAGGGGACGCGCCUCUCCUCAUUGAAGAGAAUUCGCUGCCACGCGUUUUGCACAGUAGAGAGGCAACUCUACCACGUGGACAAAGGCAACAACUUCUGACCCCUGUGGAUAGCUUUGGCUUCGUGCACCGGGGAGACAAGAAACUGCCCACGGCCUCCAGUCCUCAGUGGCCCCCACCCAACAGCCUCCUCUUCAUCCACGCAAUGGGGCUUCAGGUCAGACGAGUCGGACUCCUUUGGUCCCUACAGGGGUAAUUCUAAGGACAGUAGGUUCUGGAAACCUUUUUCCUGCUGCGUUCUAAGGAAUGAGGGAUUUUCGCCCCUGUGGCCUCUGUUCCACUCAGCAGCGCCCUUCUGUGAGCCAGAUGUGAAAGUAUCACACAGGCACAGGAGAUCGGGGUUCUGAUCACAGGCCGCGUGGCAAACUUCCUGCCUGACCCUAGGUGGAAACACAAGGUUAUCUGAGGGAAGCAACUCCAUGGGCCUUGCCAUGCCUGCCCCAGCAUAGGAGGGCAGUGCUGAGCUAAGGGCUCUCACCGACUGCCCCUGCGGGAUCCAGACACCCCACCCGGCAGCUUGCUAGAUAAGCAGGGCUAGAUAAGCAACUGGAUCCUGCCAUUGUCUGCCUGAGCAGAGGAAGAGGAAGACGGACAGCCCACAGCCCCUCUGCCUGCCAAGGGUACUGCCUUCUUCAAUAUUCAGCCCAAAGCAAGCGGUCUACAUUUGCUGUGGCUGGGAGAAAAAAUAAACACAGAAACUGUGAACUGAUAUGUUAGGUUGCUAAGGAAAGAGCUGCUUACAGCUUGGGGAACUGAAACGACACUCACAUUUUGUCUUGUCUUUUAACUCUUUCUUCUUCAGCAUCAUUAGGGGUGCUUCUGGGAUCACUGCUGGGAAGGGAUGAGAAAGACACAGAGCAAUGUAGAGGGAGCGUGCUGACUGCUGAGACCCCUGCCCACUCUAUGGGGACUUUGAAGGCUGAGGCAACCCUUCAGAGUUGUCUUGGAGGGACAAGGGGCCCAGGCUCUCAUGGCCCACAUUGAGCAGUCUGGGGAUGCCAUCCCGGAAGAAGGCGUAACUUUGGGUGGGGGGCUCUCUCCAGGCCAGACAAUCCUGGAGGAAUUGACCAUGCAGCUGGGGGCUCUGGAACUGGGGCUAUGCUCUUCAUUCCUGAAGCCGGUUUGAGGGAUGCAUCAGUUAUGGGGUCCUCUGCACAUCUCCCCUGAUACCUCGGCAUCUCUUAAGGUUUAAGUUAUGUCUAUUAGGAACUGGAAGCUCUCUGCUUCUCUGCAGAUGCCCUGGUUGCCUCCCUAGACAUCAUUCUUUGUUAGCAUCACCAACUUUGUCCACCCAGGGUCACAAAAUUUUGCACAGAAGCUCCAUUGUCUGAAAUUCUCAAGGAUAACUGUGUGCCUGAUCCCACUGGGGAAGCUGAGGUGGAUGGGUCAGGCAGCAGCAGCCAGUCGAGGUAGGAGAAGUUGCUUCUGGUCUGGUUCAAUUAGUAGAACUGGACAGUGCCCUUUGCAGUGUCCAGACAGAAGGCUCUAAGGUUCUGCUCGGACGCAGGCAGGGAUGGGAGCAUGAUAUACCACAUGGCAUAUGGUUCCAUGGGCAGCUCUCAGACAUGAACACUGGUUACCACCAAGUUGAAGCUUUCCUGGCAUCUGUCUUUGGUCCUAGAACCAUCCUGUGGGGGUAAAGGGAAGUCUGGUCCAUUUUUCGGGCCAGACUUUUUUAAGACUACCGUAAUAGUCUUCAGAUACACAAAUACUGAAUCUCUGAUUCCAUCUUGUUCUGUCAUCAGACUCUGUAAAGUGGGAGCAUGCUACAGUGAGGGAGAGGAGAGGGGAGUUGGAAAGAUAACUAAGAGCUUAUUGGAUACGAUUUGGAUACUUUUCUCUCAAAAUGUGAUGAAAAGUGCUUUUUGUUUUCUUUCUUUCUUUUCUCUUCUUGCCCUUGUUAUUCACGUAAAAUGUACAUACAUAAAGUGUGCAAAUUAAUAGAUCUAUAGAUCACUUUGUGUGUAUUACCAUCUCAACAAUAUUAAGUCUUCCAAUCCAGGAACAUAGGACGUCUUUCAUUUGUUUAGGUAUUCUUCAAUUUAUUUCAGUAAAGUUUUCUAGUUUUCAGUGUACAAGUGUUGCUCCUCCUUGGUUAAAUUUAUUACUAAGCAUACUAUUUUUUGAUACUAUAAUAAAUAGCAUUGUUUUUAAAUUUUCAUUUCAGGUUAUUUAUUAAUAAUGUAUAGAAAUACAACUUUUUGUUGAUUUGGUAUUCUGCAACUUUACUGAAUGCUUUUAUUAGCUUUAAUAGUUUUUAAUGGAUUCUUUGGUAUUUUUCUAUUUGUCAGAUUAUUUCACCCGUGAAUAGAAAUGAUUUACUUCUUGUUCUUUAAUCUGAAUGCUGUUGUGAGCUGAAUUGUAUUCCUCCAAAUUCAUAUUCCUCCAGCACUUCAGAAUGUGAUUGUAUUUGAAAACAGAUCCUUUAAAGAGGUAAAAUGAUGCUACAUGGGUGGAUCCUAAUCUAAUCUGACUGGUGUCCUUGUAAGAAGAGAAAAUUUGAACACACAAGGAGACACCAGGGGUGCACACGCACAGAAGAUGACCAUGUGAAAAGGCAGAAAUAAGGUAGUCAUCUGCAAGCCAAGGAGAGAGGCCUCAACCUCAAGAGAAACCAACCCUGAUGACACAUUGAUCUUGUACUUCUGGCCUCCAGAACGAUGAGAAAAUAAAUGUCUGCUAUUUAAGCCACCCAGUCUUUGCAACUUUGUUGCUGAACAAACUAGUUAACUAAUACAGAUACCCUUGUUUUAUUAUUGAAUAAUAACAUCGACACCCCAGGAAAUUGUGCAUUGUCUAUUUUGUGCCCCAGGUACCCAAGCCAAGUAAAAGAGGAUUUUGAAAAUAUUGUGAUAAAAUGGAAUUAAAGAUAAAAAUGUAUUUCUCAACAUAAGCAAGAUGAAGAAACUUUUGAAACCAGUGAUACAAGCUGUUCAGUCCAUCCCUAAAAAAACUGAGAGUCCUGGGAAUUUAACCAUGUUAAUCAGGUUUUUAAAACAUUAUUAACUGAAAAAAUGGGUGCCCUUUAAAGAUGUUUUAAUAUUAGAAAAAAAAAAAGAAGUAAGAAGGAGCCAAACCAGGCCUGUGAGGUGAGUGCCUAAUGAUUUCCUACUAAAGCUGUGGCAAAAUUGCCCUUGUUUACUGAGAGAAAUGAGCAGGAGCAUUGUCAUGGUGGACAAGGGCUCCCUCAUGAAGUUUUCUUAGGCAUUUUUCUGCUAAAGCUUUGGCUAACUUUCUCAAAAUACUCUUACAAUAAGUAAAUGUUAUAAUUCUCUGGCCCUCCAGAAAGUCAAAAAGCAAAAUGCCUUGAGCAUCUCAAGAACUAUUGCCAUGACUUUUGCUCUCCAUUGGUCCACUUUUGCUUUGACUGGAUCCCCUCCAUCUUUUGGUAGCCGUUUUGGUAGAUUGUGAUUUGUCUUCAAGAUUGAACUGGUAGAGCCAUAUUUCAUCUCCCAUAAUAACCCUUUGAAGAAAUGCUUCAGGAUGGAGAUCCCAUUUGAUUAAAAUUUCCAUGAAAACCUCUCUUUUUGUCUGCUGCUGAUCUGGGUGCAAGAGUUUUGGCACCCAUUGAGUAGAAAAUUUACU